GUCCCGGAGGCCUCCGGCCCACGCGUGGGGCCCGGCUCCUCCGCCCGAGCGGCUGAUCGUGGUCUUCAGCUGUCUGGGUGUCAUCUCAAGUCAGUAAACAACCGCAAGGAUUGGAUUUCGUGAGUUCUGCACAGAAAAGGUCUUUGUGAGCAGCAAGGGUGGUGACAAUCACAGGAGAGCUGAGACAAAGGGACAGAGCCAGAUGCAGGAUUUCUCUGUUGGGGAUUUUGCAGCAGGAUCCGUGGCAGUGACCUUUUGUGAUCCAGAACUAUUCCAUUGAAAAAGCAAGGAUAUUGGAAAAUCCCUGAGAGGCUGGUAUCUGGAACAAUCAGCAUUCCUGGAUGUGGAUAUUUUUAAAUGCCCGGCUCAUUCCGUGACCUGUUAAAACGGAGUUGAUGUGUGUGUGCUCCACUCAGCGGAGAGCUCGCCAGGGAUGGAGCCAUUCCUCUGCACUCUGGGAGGAGAGGCAGGAACACGCUUGGGAAGCCUUUCUGGAGAGGCUCGGAGAAGCCAUUUUGAAAGGCCUCUUGUUAUCUUCAGCGCUGUGGAAGUCUUGACUGGACUUGCCUGGUGAUACAAAGCGUUGUAAUCACAGGAUCACUGAGGAUGGAAAAAGCCUCCAAGACCAUCAAAUCCAAGCUGUGUCCAAUGCCCACAUUGCCCCCACCCCAGAGCACUGAGUGCCACCUCCAGGAAUUCCCUGGACACCUCCAGGGAUGGGCACUCCAAACCUCCCUGGGCAGUCACUUCCCAUGCCUGACAACUCUUUUGUGAAGAAAUUCUUCCUGAAUUUCUAAAAAUUUUCAACCUGAUUUUCAACCUGAACUUCCCCUGGCAUAACCUGAGGCUGUGUCCUCUCCUCCUGUCCCUGUUUCCUGGCUGUCCCCUCCUGUCAGGAGUUGUGCAGAGCCACAAGGUCCCCCCUGAGCCCCCUUUUCUCCAGGCUGAGCCCCUUUCCAGCUCGCUCAGCUGCUCCUUUAGGACGUAGCUGGUUUAAUCCAGCUGCACGUGAGGAGGUGGAUCAGAGCCAGCGGUGCAGGUGCAGCUGUGCCAUCACACCUCCCCAUUUUCAUAUGCCAGGACAAGGAUCAAUGCUACACCCAUUUUAUAUGGAGUGACAGCACAGCCACGUCCCUCCACGUGACAUGGGAACACGUGUCCACGCUGCAGGCAGGACAGAAGGAAUGACACACCCCAGGUAAGCCACACCUGCACUUUUAGGCCUGAUUUGAGCUGAUUUACCGUGCCUAUCAACCCGACCUUGUUCCUGUCACAGUGCACCAGCUGAACUCGGGGAGGGAGGCUGCGGGUGAGCUGCAGCAUCCUCCUCAGAGGGGCACAGCAGAGUCAGCAGAAACACCUGAAGCUCCUGGGCUCUGCUCUGUCAAGUCUCAGCCAGAAGCAGGGACAUCUUCCACUGUGCUCCAAGCACUGUCCAGCCUAGCCUUGGACACUUCCAGGGAUCCAGGGGCAGCCACAGCUUCUCUGGGCACCCUGUGCUGUGGCCUCCCACCCUCACAGGGAAGGAUUUCUUGCACAGAUCCAACCUAAAUUUCCCCUCUGUCAAUGUGAAGCCAUUCCCCCUUGCUCUCUCACUACAGCUCCUGGUGAAGAGUCCUUCUCUGGCUUCUUUGCACACCCCUUCAGAUCGUGGAAGGGGCUGUGAGGUUUUCCCUUCUCCCCUCCAGGCUGAACAGGCCCCGCUUUCUCAGGCCCACAGGGAGGUGCUCCAGUCCCCUCACCAGCUCUGUAACCUCCUCUGGACCUGCUGCAACAGUGCCGUGUCCACUGGGGGCACAAACAGAUCCGUCUGCACUGAAGGCUGGCAGGGAACGUUCUCCCAGCUGCUGAGGUGACUAAGAUAAGGAACCUCUUAGAAGUCUGUGUUUUGUUGGAGUAGGAUUCUGAUUCCUGCUCAGCUGAACUGGUCCUGUGAGAUUUUCAGCAGUUCUGAGGCUCUGGGCUGCCAUUUCUAACAUUGCAGGGGUCGAUUUCUGCCCUGUUCAGCAGCCUCCCACUCACAGUCAGUUCUGGGGAAAGCCAAGUGUGAGCCUGGGUCCCACAGCUUGGGAACGGGUUCCCAGAGCUCUUCUGGAGUGACAUUUAGGCCCCAGGGAGCCUGGGAGUUGCCAAACUCCUCCUGUUUGACAGAAUUCCCUGCAGGACGUCAGUCAACACUCCCAGAUGUUCUGAGCAGAUGCAAACCACUGUAAUGGACAUGAGAAACUGUUCUCUGAGUUACUAACCAUGAGUGCAAGGACAGGUUUCAUCUCUGCUCUGGGAAUGGGUAGUGCACAGUCUGUCACUGUGGUGACCCUCUGUGCAAUGAUCCUCCAAGGAGUGGCGCAAGCAGCACGCCCUGCUCUGCUCUGCCUGCCCCAGGGAACAGGGGACACUUGGGGACAGGGUUCAGAGGUGGCCCUGGCGGCGCUGAGUCACCAUUGGACCCAGGGAUCUCAGAGGACUUUUGCAGCCUCAGGCAGCCCACGGUGCUUUGAUUCCAUGAUCCUCUCUGAGGACACGCUGAUGGGUCCCUUGUGGCUGUGCACAGAUGUUGCCAGAUGUGUCUGCCUGGCACAGCCUCAGCUCACCAGGAAUGAGUGAGAGGAGGUGGGAGAACAAAAGUGGGGGGAAACCUCCUUGUGACUGACUUCCAGACACAGUAAGAAGGGGAAUUAGGGGCUUCUCAAUAUGAAUAUCUUUUGCCUAAGUGCCUGGGGGGUUUUGGUCCUGCGUUUGUCUGAGAAAACAGUUUUUCUAGACUGACUAAUCCAACCGUAAGCAACAGCCUAAAUAAUAAUUAUUACUUACAGUUUUUAUUAUGUCACCUUCUGCCAGCGGAAGCCUAGAGGGAAAGGGAACUGUGCUGGUUGUUACAUUGUGGUGUUCACACACAUCCAGACAGGACUCUGGAACAUGACCUGCAGUGCCAGAGCGCUGCUGGCUGAACCAGGAAACACCACUUCCUACCUGUGCACAGGUGGGUGCCGCUGUUCCUCUGCCCGGGUGGUGUUCUCCAGCACCUUUGUGCAGAAAUCGUGAUGUUCCCUUGACGUGAAGCAGCUUUUCCUCGGACUCUGGCUCACGUGUGGCUGUUUGUGGGAGUGUGGCCAAGGCAAACUGUGUGUCAGGAGUGUGCAUCCUUUAUUUUGGGACACAGCACGGCCACAUCACAGCACAAGCAAGGACUCACUAUUGACAUCACCACACACAGGCACAGCGUGCUGAAAAAUCAUCACCUGGCAAGUGUCAGGGACCCCUGUGAGCACUAUCUGAUCAUUCCUUUGUGCAUCAGCUGGGCCUCUGAGCCCUUAACCAUGGGCCUCUCCUGGCAAAGUCCUUCCAGGACGGAAAAGGAACAAAAAUACACAUUUGUGACUUGGUCUGAAAGCAUUUAAAUGUAAAGAAUGAUCAUAGAACCAUUUAGGUUGGAGAAGACUCCAACCACAGUGGUGGGUGUAAAGAAUCUUGGAAACCUUUACCUGCAAUCUCCUGAAGUUCUCCCAUUAAAUCACUCCUUGCUUAUUCAAGGAAUAAAAUUAGUUUAUCCCAGAUACAAACAGAAUGCUUAGAAAUAAAAGUUUUCAAAGAAUAUGCUGAGAAAAAAAAAAGUUUUUAAAAUAAUUACUGAAAUAAUUAGUGACAUCUUACAUCUGUGAGAGAUGAACAGGACCAAAACCGAGUGUCAGGCCAGACUCUGUGGGGUGUGAUGGGUGCAUUAUACACUUUCCCAGGGGGUUUUUUAUCCUUUAGAGGAAAAAUGUGUAACGGGUUAAUCUUAACCCCCUUGCUUCAGUGCUGACUUUUAAAAAACUUCUGUGCCCUGGAAAUGAUGGCUGAAAAGUGCUGGGUGAGCGCGUGGGGCUGAGACACAGAAUAGAACGUAGGGAUUUGGUGACAUUGGUGACAGCGGUGACAUCGGGUGAGCUGGCUCAGCCAAGGGCGGGGGGAGGCCGUCCGAGCGCGCAUUGGUGGUUCAGUGGUAGAAUUCUCGCCUGCCACGCGGGAGGCCCGGGUUCGAUUCCCGGCCAAUGCAACUCGUUUUUUGCCGGUGGAGGAGCCGCCGCGGUCUGAGCGCAGCGCUUUCCUUUUCCUCGCGGGGUUCCCGGGCCGGGGAAAGCGGCGCCGGUCCUGCCGGGCCGGGCCGGGCCGGGCCGGGUCGUGCCGGCGGCGCGGUGCUGGCCGGGCCCGGCGGAACCAGCGGCCGCGCGGGGAGACGGGAGAAAAAAAAACGGAAAUGAGGAAAGGAAAAGAAAAAAAAAAAAAGCGCCUGGAGAUGCCGGGGAUUGAACCCGGGACCUCACACAUGCGAAGCGCGCGCUCUACCACUGAGCUACAUCCCCGGCUGUGGAGGCCUCGCGCCGGGCGCCCCCAAAUGGACGGCACGGGGGAGCCGGGGCUGUCCCGCUGCGCGCCCCGGCCCGGCCUGGCCCGGCCCGACCCGGCCCGGCCGCACACAACUCCCUCUGCCGGCACCGGGACACGGGCACGGAGCGGGGACACGGGCACGGAGCGGGGACACGGGCACGGAGCCCCGGAGCCCCGGCAGCGGCACCGCCCCGUCCGUGCGCGGGGAGCACAGGGAGAGCCUCGGGGCCCGGGGCAGCCGCGGUGCUGAUCCCCCCGGGGUCCCCAGCCCGGGUUAGGACCCCGGUUUGAUGCUAACGGAGAGGAAGCCAAACACGUUCUUCCCGUGGCGGAUUCCCAGCAAAACCAGCAACGUCCAGUGUCUUCACUGGAGCUGCCCGGUGCCGCUGUUCUCAGAGCCCAGGCACCAUCUCCCUGGCAGUGCUGGGUGCCCUCGGUGUGCCCCUGAGCUACCCCACAGUCACGGAGUCUGGGAACGGGUUAAAACCUUAAAGCCAACCCGUCCCACCCCUGCCAUGGCAGGGACACCUCCCACUGUCCCAGGCUGCUCCAAGCCCUGUCCAGCCUGGCCUUGGGCACUGCCAGGGAUCCAGGGGCAGCCACAGCUGCUCUGGGCACCUGUGCCAGGGCCUGCCCACCCUCCCAGGGAAGAAUACCAGAACAUAUUUAAUUUAUUCUCCCACAAGCUGUGCCGACCCCACAGGGCCGUUCCCCACCCAGCCAUUCCCGUUCUGACAUCCAUAACCUUGGCUGCUCAGGUUUUUCCAUCCUGUCAGAAAGCAGCAC